rfam:Felis catus isolate Cinnamon breed Abyssinian chromosome B4, whole genome shotgun sequence.
GCCUGGGUGGCUCGGUCAGUUAAGUGUCUGACUUCAGCUCAGGUCGUGAUCUCACGGUUCGUGGGUUCCAGCCCCACAUCAGGCU